UGGGGAAUCUUGGACAAUGGGGGCAACCCUGAUCCAGCCAUGCCGCGUGGGUGAAGAAGGCCUUAGGGUUGUAAAGCCCUUUCAGUCGUGACGAUGAUGACGGUAGCGACAGAAGAAGCCCCGGCUAACUCCGUGCCAGCAGCCGCGGUAAUACGGAGGGGGCAAGCGUUGUUCGGAUUUACUGGGCGUAAAGGGCGCGUAGGCGGACGGUCAAGUCAGAGGUGGAAGGCCCGGGCUCAACCUGGGACGUGCCUUUGAAACUGAUUGUCUUGAGUGCGGAAGAGGUGAGUGGAAUUCCUAGUGUAGAGGUGAAAUUCGUAGAUAUUAGGAAGAACACCAGUGGCGAAGGCGGCUCACUGGCUCGGUACUGACGCUGAGGUGCGAAAGCGUGGGGAGCAAACAGGAUUAGAUACCCCCGUAGUCC
rnacentral:rRNA from 1 species